AGAUUAGAGUUUGAUCCUGGCUCAGGAUGAACGCUAGCGGCAGGCCUAACACAUGCAAGUCGAACGGUAACAGGAAAUAGCUUGCUAUUUUGCUGACGAGUGGCGCACGGGUGCGUAACGCGUAUACAAUCUACCUUUUGCUGAGGGAUAGCCCAGAGAAAUUUGGAUUAAUACCUCAUGGUAUUAUUGAUAGGCAUCUAUUAAUAAUUAAAGGUUACGGCAAAAGAUGAGUAUGCGUCCCAUUAGCUAGUUGGUGAAGUAACGGUUCACCAAGGCAACGAUGGGUAGGGGUCCUGAGAGGGAGAUCCCCCACACUGGUACUGAGACACGGACCAGACUCCUACGGGAGGCAGCAGUGAGGAAUAUUGGACAAUGGGCGAGAGCCUGAUCCAGCCAUGCCGCGUGCAGGAAGACUGCCCUAUGGGUUGUAAACUGCUUUUAUACAGGAAGAAUAAGCCUUACGUGUAAGGUGAUGACGGUACUGUAAGAAUAAGGACCGGCUAACUCCGUGCCAGCAGCCGCGGUAAUACGGAGGGUCCGAGCGUUAUCCGGAAUUAUUGGGUUUAAAGGGUCCGUAGGCGGAUGAUUAAGUCAGGGGUGAAAGUUUGCAGCUCAACUGUAAAAUUGCCUUUGAUACUGGUCAUCUUGAGUUGUAUUGAAGUAGGCGGAAUAUGUAGUGCAGCGGUG
rnacentral:rRNA from 1 species